CAAAUGAUAGGUGUUGGGUAUAAAAUACCCUCCAGCCAAAGUUUGUGUCAGGAGUGACCCUCUAGGGAUUCUACCGACAUCCGAACCUCUCCGGUGACAUCUUUUCGAACCUCUCCGGUGACAUCUUUUCGAACCUCUCCGGUGGUCGAGCCUCCGCAACAUUCUCAAGUUCUGCCGACGGAUAAACUCCCACCAGCAUC
rnacentral:lncRNA from 1 species